GGCCCUUCGGGGUACACCAGCGGCGAACGGGUGAGUAACACGUGAGCAACCUGCCCCUGACUCUGGGAUAAGCGGUGGAAACGCCGUCUAAUACCGGAUACGACCCGCCACCUCAUGGUGGAGGGUGGAAAGUUUUUCGGUCAGGGAUGGGCUCGCGGCCUAUCAGCUUGUUGGUGGGGUAACGGCCUACCAAGGCGAUUACGGGUAGCCGGCCUGAGAGGGCGACCGGCCACACUGGGACUGAGACACGGCCCAGACUCCUGCGGGAGGCAGCAGUGGGGAAUAUUGCGCAAUGGGCGAAAGCCUGACGCAGCGACGCCGCGUGGGGGAUGACGGCCUUCGGGUUGUAAACCUCUUUUACCACCAACGCAGGCUCGAAGUUCUCUUCGGGUUGACGGUAGGUGGGGAAUAAGGACCGGCUAACUACGUGCCAGCGGGGCGGGGGAAUACGUAGGGUCCGAGCGUUGUCCGGAAUUAUUGGGCGUAAAGAGCUCGUAGGCGGCGUGUCGCGUCUGCUGUGAAAGACCGGGGCUUAACUCCGGUUCUGCAGUGGAUACGGGCAUGCUAGAGGUAGGUAGGGGAGACUGGAAUUCCUGGUGUAGCGGUGAAAUGCGCAGAUAUCAGGAGGAACACCGGUGGCGAAGGCGGGUCUCUGGGCCUUACCUGACGCUGAGGAGCGAAAGCAUGGGGAGCGAACAGGAUUAGAUACCCUGGUAGUCCAUGCCGUAAACGUUGGG
rnacentral:rRNA from 1 species